AUAACUGUGUGUGUAAGUACACAAUUUGAAUGAGUUUGUGUUAGUGUUACAGCUUGCGUUACGUGAUAUUCACGUAAGAAAAAAAAAUCAAAAUGGCGUCGAGUGCGGAUUUAAUAAAUAACCUUCUGACGGAUUUGCAAUUUCCACGCAAUUUACUGCAAAAAUUGGACGAUUCUGGAAUAGGUAUACUAAGCCUUAUAACUAUUUCUGAAGAACAGUUAAGAGAUUAUUUGCGACUUUUGGAUCUGGACGACACUGAUUUCGAUUCAUCAUACUACUACGAGCUCUUGCAGUCCUGGAGAGCUCGAAAUAAGCCAGCUAUACAGCGCUUAGUGAGUUGGUGCAUAUACAAAGAUUUUGCAGCGGAACCACCUGCAACUCCGAAG